ensembl:snRNA U6 U6 spliceosomal RNA
UUGCUUAUGCAGCACAUGUACUAAAACUGGAACAAUACAGAGAAGAUUUAAUAUUGCCCCCAUGCAAGGAUGGCAUGCGUUUUUGUGAAGCAUUCCAUGUUUUU